rnacentral:rRNA from 1 species
UGCUGCUUCGCUGACGAGUGGCGGACGGGUGAGUAAUGUCUGGGAAACUGCCUGAUGGAGGGGGAUAACUACUGGAAACGGUGGCUAAUACCGCAUAACGUCGCAAGACCAAAGAGGGGGACCUUCGGGCCUCUUGCCAUCAGAUGUGCCCAGAUGGGAUUAGCUUGUUGGUGAGGUAACGGCUCACCAAGGCGACGAUCCCUAGCUGGUCUGAGAGGAUGACCAGCCACACUGGAACUGAGACACGGUCCAGACUCCUACGGGAGGCAGCAGUGGGGAAUAUUGCACAAUGGGCGCAAGCCUGAUGCAGCCAUGCCGCGUGUAUGAAGAAGGCCUUCGGGUUGUAAAGUACUUUCAGCGGGGAGGAAGGUGUUGUGGUUAAUAACCGCAGCAAUUGACGUUACCCGCAGAAGAAGCACCGGCUAACUCCGUGCCAGCAGCCGCGGUAA